UGGGGAAUUUUGGACAAUGGGGGAAACCCUGAUCCAGCCAUCCCGCGUGUGCGAUGAAGGCCUUCGGGUUGUAAAGCACUUUUGGCAGGAAAGAAACGUCAUGGGUUAAUACCCCGUGAAACUGACGGUACCUGUAGAAUAAGCACCGGCUAACUACGUGCCAGCAGCCGCGGUAAUACGUAGGGUGCAAGCGUUAAUCGGAAUUACUGGGCGUAAAGCGUGCGCAGGCGGUUCGGAAAGAAAGAUGUGAAAUCCCAGAGCUCAACUUUGGAACUGCAUUUUUAACUACCGGGCUAGAUUGUGUCAGAGGGAGGUGGACUUCCGCGUGUAGCAGUGAAAUGCGUAGCUAUGCGGAGAAACACCGAUGGCGAAGGCAGCCUCCUGGGAUAACACUGACGCUCAUGCACGAAAGCGUGGGGAGCAAACAGG
rnacentral:rRNA from 1 species